CGUACAGCUGUAUUGCUACAAACUCAUACGGACAGUCAGAAAAGCACAUAUGUAUUACUGGUGAGAAUGGGGCUAAAGGUCAAACUCAGUCUGAUCAGAUUGUGCUUUCCAGUGGACUUGCGCUCACAGGUGUUUUGGGACUGUGCAUCGUGAUCUGCUGCCUUUACAAAUAUCAUCACAGUAAGAUUUUCCCCCAAUACAUCAGCAAUGUGCAGAAAUGUUGCCUAAUCAAACUAACUUUUUAUGAAACCCACAUCCUUCAAGAUUUAGGUUUAUUCUGUGACUCAGAUCAUGAACCUCAACACCACGCAAUAUCAGCAUCUCACGUCUAACCAAUAUGUUCUCAAAACACCAGUUUAGGGGAAAAACAAGUAUGAAUCACAGAAACACAAAAACAGACGAUUUAUCCCCUUUUAAAAUCUACUCUGCAGGCUACAUAAAACAUAAAAUACAAUUAUUGCACUUUUAUUUUGUACAGAAUGUUUUCCUGUUGUUAUUUUUUCAGGGAAAAGAGCAGCAAAUGACAGAUCUACAGCUGAAGGGGGCGCAGACAACGACCUUGCUAUUUAUCAGCAAAUACCUGACAGUGGAG